UACGGGGGGGGUAAGCGUUGUUCGGAAUUACUGGGCGUAAAGGGCUCGUAGGCGGCCAACUAAGUCAGACGUGAAAUCCCUCAGCUUAACUGGGGAACUGCGUCUGAUACUGGAUGGCUUGGAUUCGGGAGAGGAAUGCGGAAUUCCAGGUGUAGCGGUGAAAUGCGUAGAUAUCUGGAGGAACACCGGUGGCGAAGGCGGCAUUCUGGACCGACAUUGACGCUGAGGAGCGAAAGCCAGGGGAGCGAACGGGG
rnacentral:rRNA from 1 species